UCAUAUGUUGAUUGUGCAUUAUAGGAUUAGUAGAAGUAUAUUUCCAUUCAUUGCAUGCUUACUUAGUAGUGUAGCGGUAUGGGCUUAACACUUGGACUAGGGAGGCAUGAGGAUUGGGUCUUGAGACAAAGAAUCCUAUAGUGGCAAAAGUGAUGAACUUGGACAUAGCCUAGUAAAGUGGCAUUGACUAGUGUAGUAGAAACACUAAAC
rnacentral:lncRNA from 1 species